rnacentral:lncRNA from 1 species
CUGAAUACCCGCCCCCCCAGAGCUUAUACAACAGUGUCUACCACAUAGUAAGGGCCUGCUAGAUAUGUAUUGGCUAAUGAAUGAUGAAUAGAAAUUUCAAAUGAAAGAUCCUCUCCUUCAUUUACUAUAUUUGGAGUGAUUGGCUAAGAUGAUUUAAAAAAAAGAAUUUGAAUUUUGAGGUCAGAUGACUUGAUUUUAAACUCUGAACAAACCACUUCAGCUAAAUGUUUAUAUAAAAAUCACUUGACCUCCCUGAGCCCCUACUUUCAGAGGUGGUAACAAUUAGCUGACACAUAUGUAAGGCUGCAUCAUAAUGCUUCAUGACAGAUGCUCAGGAGAGGUUAGUUCUCUGUCUGCCACCUUCCCUCUCAAAAGCUAGUUACCUAUCUAGUGACAGACACAAUAAGAUUUCUGGGACUUAGAAAAGAAAGGGAACAGGAAAGAUAAAUCGUGGGGAAGUCUAGGAAGUUUUCUAGGAAGAGAUAACCUUAAACUGGAUCCAGAAUGGUGGGAGGACGUCAACAUCCUGAGAGGCAGGGUGAGGAUGAUGUCAUGGGAGUGAGGCACAGAGCAAGAACUGGAGCACAGGCAACCACUUUGGCAGGAGCAGGGGGCUGUAAUCAUUACACUCCAAGGACAAGUGACUUGUGCACUAGUGGAUGACUUGGUUGCCGGCCUAGUGUUAUUUGGAAAACAUUAAAAAGGAAAAACUGGCCUAUUAGUUUUCUUCAUCUUCCUGGUUCCUGGUAUUCCACCAUUACCCAUUGUUCUUUUUUUAAAUGUGAAUAUUCUUGAAAGCACAAAAAUUUACACCCUAUAACACUCCCUUGAGGAUCAAUAGAUUUCUCUUUGCCUCAGGUGGAGAAAUUCAGGCUUCAUAAGGGGGAAUGAGUUUCUGGAAAGGACCCUAGGAUGGAAACCAGUGGUAGAAGGAGGCAAAAUAAGGUGCUGGAUGCAACAAUUACACAAACUCUGUCUAUAAUUUUCACAAAAGCUUUGGAAGGUUCAUUUUAUUUGCAUUUACCAGAGUAAAUAAUGUUUGAAAGGUUCCAAACCAAAAUCUGUCUUCCUCAAAACCCAUGUUCUUUUUCCCCUCCAUGGCAAGCUACUAUUAGAAGGAGAUCAAUACACAGAGAGUGACUGGAAUGGAGACUUAAUAAUCAACAAUGCCAUUCCCUAUAAAACAAGAUGUUUUUUUAUUUGUCUGAAGUCACAUAAGCAACAUAUCAUGAGUAACUGAACACUUGACUGCUCAUAAAAUUCUUGAGAGCUCCAUGGAAAUAGAAAAGAAUACAGCAUUUUGAUUCAGAAAUAAAC